GCCCUGCUGCCCUGUAGUCCUGCUGGGGUGCCAUACCUGUUGCCCUGACGCCCUGCAAGAUCUGCAGCCCUGCCUCCCUGCUGCCCUGUAGCAUUGCUGCCCUGCUGCCCUGCUGCUCUUCUGCCCUGCAACCCUGCCUACCUACUGCCUUGCAUCCCUGCCGCACUGUGAGGCUUGUAGCAUUGCCGCCCUACACCCUGAACCCUGCAGCCCUGGGAGGCCUGUAGCCCUGCAGCCCUGCUGCUCUUCAGCCCUUCUGCCCUGCUGUCCUGCAUCCCUGAUGCCCUGUUGCCAUGCAGCCCUCCGAGGCCUGCCACCCUUCCACCCUGCUGCCCUACCUCCCUGCAGCCCUGCCGCCCUGGUAGGCCUACAGCCAUGCCGCCCUGCUGCCUGGCCACUCAGUGACCCUGAGAGGCCUGCAGCCCUGCCGCAAUGCUUCCCUGCUGCCUUGCCACCCUGCUACCCUGCAGCCCUUCCAGCAUGCUUCUCUGCAGCCCUACUGCCCUGCUGCCCUGCAGCCCUGCUGCCCUGCAAGGCCUGCAGCCCGGUCACCAGUGUCACCCACCCGGCCUUUAAGGUUUCUGAGCAGACACUGGACCCUGACCUGACUGGACGCUGCCUCCUCCGGCUCCCUCUCACUUACAGAUUUUUUCAGGUGGUGUCAAUGAAGUAUGUUAGAGGGAAGAAACUACCUUGA
rnacentral:lncRNA from 1 species